rnacentral:rRNA from 1 species
GUUAUCAGAUCCCUCCGAGGUUAGCAAAGCUAUCGACGGCGAGGUGAUCAACAGCAUUCGCUGCAAUCCUCAAUCCCGGUCAUCACAUCUACCAAGGUCUAUAACACUCCCCGAGGGGAGCCACCUUACCCCGAUAAUUUUAUGACGACCAAAAUUGAUGCUAACCUGCCAAGCGAAGAAGUGCACACGAAAGCGAACCCUCGUGUUGAUUCCUCACCAGCAUGACUGACUUCAAUCGUUUCCCUUUCAAA